GGUAAAAUUGUUAUUGUGACUAUGGUUUUGACUACUGGGGGAAAGGAACCAUGGUCACUGUAUCAUCAGCUCAACCAUCUGCACCACAGUCUCUCAUUGGUUUGGCUCAGUGCGGUUCUGAUUCUGAUGGCUUCCUCACUCUUGGCUGCGUGACAAGAGGUUUCUCGCCCGCGGAAUCACUUUCUUUCACAUGGACAAAUCCUGAGGGGAACGCGGUGAAUGAUUUCGUGCAGUAUCCAGCAGUCGGACAGGGCGGAGAUAACACCAAAAUCAGCCACCUUCGCGUGCAGAAAAGCGUCUUGGAUCCCAAGAGCCCGUACAGAUGUAAAGCUGCAAAUUCUGUGGGUUAUAAGACAAUUGACGUUGUUCCGGCAGCCCCACCGCCAGAUAAGAGAGCAUCUGUGUUCUUAACAUCUCCUACAAAAGCGGAUUUAGAGAAUGGAACAGCUACUUUCAUUUGCUUAGCCAAGGAGUUUUCCCCUGAAAACCACUCAUUUAAGUGGCUUCAGAAUGGUGUGGUGGUAAAAGACGUGGAAGCUGGUGAUUGUUUAGGUAAGAAGAAAACCAAUGUAACUGUUUAUACCGCCACAAGCGUUUUGCAAUUGAAAGCUGACGAUUGGACCAAGAAACCUGGAACCAAAAUUACGUGCACAUUCAACCACAAAGCUGGAAGUGAUACAAAAGAAGCAACUAACACAGAACCUUCAACAGAAUGUGUUUCUGCUCAUUUUAUGCCUCCCUCCUGGGAGGACAUGUUCCUGAAAAAAAGUGGGAGUCUAAAGUGCAGAGCUACAGGAGAAUCAGGGUUCAAAAUAAUGGAAAUUAAAGCAUCUGGGAAAGUCAUCAAUACAACAGGACAAAUCCAAUCAAAUGAGAAAACAGUUGAGCUUGAGGCCAGAAUCAAUUUUGAAGAAUGGAGCAAUGGAACAAAAUUUAUGUGUAGCAUCGAACACGAAUCAAAGGCAGACCCCAUAGAGAUUUUGUAUACCAGAGAGACAGGUGGAAAUGUGAAGAGACCCUCUGUUUACAUAUUAGCACCCCCAGAACAAAUACAGAAUGAAACGGUGACCCUGACAUGUUAUGUGAAGGACUUCUACCCCAAAGAGGUGUUUGUGUCUUGGCUUGCUGAUGAUGACCAUUUGAAACCUGGGAAUGGGUACAUGCAGAACACUAGCGUGCCAAUGUUGAACAAUAAAUACUUUAGUGUCUAUAGUCAGCUCUCACUUCCGUCUUCUACGUGGAAAAGUGGUACAGUGUUUAGCUGUGUUGUGUACCAUGAAAGCAUUGAUCAGUCUUUGCAAAUAUUGACAAGAUCUAUUAACAAUAAUUCGGAAAAACCCAGCAUAUUUAAUCUAAGUUUGAAUACGCCUGCUUGCAAGGGGUAAACUGUCAUGUGGUGUCUGCCUGCAUGUGGACGUUUAAAUGUUUAUUCUUUUCUUUAAGUGUCAUGUCUAUAUUGUCUUGUAAGAGUCUCUGUCAUUAAUGUUUGCUUGAAACUUUGUCAUGCACAUCAAAUUGAGAAAAAAAAGCUAAUAAAAAAAACCAAGCAUA